GUGAUCUACCUGAGCUCGAGUUCAUAUGGAAGGGCCCCACAAAUUUUCUAAGCCUCCAUAUGCUUAAGUGGAUUUUUGUGCUUGAAUGUCCAAAAUUGAAAACCAUCUUCUCCCCUACCAUUGUUAGAAGCUUACCAAUGCUGAGAUCACUGCAUAUAAUUGAUUGUGAGAAAUUGGAACAAAUAUUUGAUUCAGGUGAUGCACAAAGCCUAUAUACUUGUUCACAACAAGUGUGCUUCCCAAAUCUCGAGGAUAUUUGUGUCAAAAAGUGCAACAAGUUGAAAUACCUUUUUCAUAAUUUUGUGGCUGGUCACUUUCACAAUCUGACCUUGUUGGAGAUAGCAGACUGCUCUGAGUUACAGAAGGUUUUUGCUUUUGAAUGUGAAACUGAUGACGAUGGUCAAGAAGGGAUUGUUAAGGGUGGAGAAAAU
rnacentral:lncRNA from 1 species